GGCGAACUGGUGAGUAACAAGGUGAAUAACGUGCCCCUGAGUGGGGGAUAACCCCGGGAAACCGGGGCUAAUACCGCAUGGUCUCUCUGGCCCACGGGUUUGAGAGUAAAGCAGUAAUGCGCUUGGGGAUCGGUUCACCUCCCAUUAGCUAGUUGGUAGGGUAAUGGCCUACCAAGGCUACGAUGGGUAGCUGGUCUGAGAGGAUGGUCAGCCACACUGGGACUGAGAUACGGCCCAGGCUCCUACGGGGGGCAGCAGUCUAGAGGCUUCGUCAAUGCCCGAAAGGGUGAACGAGCGACGCCGCGUGCGGGAUGAAGGGUUUCGGCUUGUAAACCGCUUUUCUUUGGGAAGAAGGUACGGUUCGUGCAAUCGUGCUCGACGGUACCAGAGGAAUAAGCCCCGGCUAACUCCGUGCCAGCAGCCGCGGUAAGACGGAGGGGGCAAGCGUUGUUCGGAAUUAUUGGGCGUAAAGGGCGCGUAGGCGGAUCGGCGGGUCCGGCGUGAAAUCUCCACCGCUUAACGGGGAGAAGCCGCUGGAAACUACCGAUCUGGAGUUCGGCAGAGGACCAUGGAAUUCC
rnacentral:rRNA from 1 species